UACGUAGGGCGCAAGCGUUGUCCGGAAUUAUUGGGCGUAAAGAGCUCGUAGGCGGUCUGUCGCGUCGGAUGUGAAAGCCCGGGGCUUAACCCCGGGUCUGCAUUCGAUACGGGCAGACUAGAGUGUGGUAGGGGAGAUCGGAAUUCCUGGUGUAGCGGUGAAAUGCGCAGAUAUCAGGAGGAACACCGGUGGCGAAGGCGGUUCUCUGGGCCUGUACUGACGCUGAGGAGCGAAAGCGUGGGGAGCGAACAGG
rnacentral:rRNA from 1 species